GACGAACGCUGGCGGCGUGCUUAACACAUGCAAGUCGAACGGAAAGGCCCUGCUUUUGUGGGGUGCUCGAGUGGCGAACGGGUGAGUAACACGUGAGUAACCUGCCCUUGACUUUGGGAUAACUUCAGGAAACUGGGGCUAAUACCGGAUAGGAGCUCCUGCUGCAUGGUGGGGGUUGGAAAGUUUCGGCGGUUGGGGAUGGACUCGCGGCUUAUCAGCUUGUUGGUGGGGUAGUGGCUUACCAAGGCUUUGACGGGUAGCCGGCCUGGGAGGGUGACCGGCCACAGUGGGACUGAGAUACGGCCCAGACUCCUACGGGAGGCAGCAGUGGGGAAUAUUGCACAAUGGGCGGAAGCCUGAUGCAGCAACGCCGCGUGCGGGAUGACGGCCUUCGGGUUGUAAACCGCUUUCGCCUGUGACGAAGCGUGAGUGACGGUAAUGGGUAAAGAAGCACCGGCUAACUACGU
rnacentral:rRNA from 1 species